GACGUAGGGCGCGAGCGUUGUCCGGAUUUAUUGGGCGUAAAGAGCUCGUAGGCGGCUUGUCGCGUCGAUCGUGAAAACUCACAGCUCAACUGUGAGCCUGCGGUCGAUACGGGCAGGCUAGAGUUCGGUAGGGGAGACUGGAAUUCCUGGUGUAGCGGUGAAAUGCGCAGAUAUCAGGAGGAACACCGGUGGCGAAGGCGGCGCGCUGGACCCUUUCUGACGCUGAUGCGCGAAAGCCAGGGGAGCAAACGGG
rnacentral:rRNA from 1 species